rnacentral:rRNA from 1 species
AGAGUUUGAUCAUGGCUCAGGACGAACGCUGGCGGCGCGCCUAACACAUGCAAGUCGAACGAGAGAGAGGGAGCUUGCUUCCUCGAUCGAGUGGCGAACGGGUGAGUAACGCGUGAGGAACCUGCCUCAAAGAGGGGGACAACAGUUGGAAACGACUGCUAAUACCGCAUAAGCCCACGGCUCGGCAUCGAGCAGAGGGAAAAGGAGCAAUCCGCUUUGAGAUGGCCUCGCGUCCGAUUAGCUAGUUGGUGAGGUAACGGCCCACCAAGGCAACGAUCGGUAGCCGGACUGAGAGGUUGAACGGCCACAUUGGGACUGAGACACGGCCCAGACUCCUACGGGAGGCAGCAGUGGGGAAUAUUGCACAAUGGGGGAAACCCUGAUGCAGCGACGCCGCGUGGAGGAAGAAGGUCUUCGGAUUGUAAACUCCUGUUGUUGAGGAAGAUAAUGACGGUACUCAACAAGGAAGUGACGGCUAACUACGUGCCAGCAGCCGCGGUAAAACGUAGGUCACAAGCGUUGUCCGGAAUUACUGGGUGUAAAGGGAGCGCAGGCGGGCGAUCAAGUUGGAAGUGAAAUCCAUGGGCUCAACCCAUGAACUGCUUUCAAAACUGAUUGUCUUGAGUAGUGCAGAGGUAGGCGGAAUUCCCGGUGUAGCGGUGGAAUGCGUAGAUAUCGGGAGGAACACCAGUGGCGAAGGCGGCCUACUGGGCACCAACUGACGCUGAGGCUCGAAAGUGUGGGUAGCAAACAGGAUUAGAUACCCUGGUAGUCCACACCGUAAACGAUGAUUACUAGGUGUUGGAGGAUUGACCCCUUCAGUGCCGCAGUUAACACAAUAAGUAAUCCACCUGGGGAGUACGACCGCAAGGUUGAAACUCAAAGGAAUUGACGGGGGCCCGCACAAGCAGUGGAGUAUGUGGUUUAAUUCGACGCAACGCGAAGAACCUUACCAAGUCUUGACAUCCUGCGACGGACAUAGAAAUAUGUUUUUCCUUCGGGACGCAGAGACAGGUGGUGCAUGGUUGUCGUCAGCUCGUGUCGUGAGAUGUUGGGUCAAGUCCCGCAACGAGCGCAACCCUUAUCCUCAGUAGCCAGCAGUAAGAUGGGAACUCUGGGGAGACUGCCAGGGAUAACCUGGAGGAAGGUGGGGAUGACGUCAAAUCAUCAUGCCCCUUAUGAUUUGGGCUACACACGUGCUACAAUGGCGUAAACAAAGGGAAGCGAGAGGGUGACCUGGAGCAAAUCCCAAAAAUAACGUCCCAGUUCGGACUGUAGUCUGCAACCCGACUACACGAAGCUGGAAUCGCUAGUAAUCGCAGAUCAGAAUGCUGCGGUGAAUACGUUCCCGGGUCUUGUACACACCGCCCGUCACACCAUGGGAGUCAGCAACGCCCAAAGUCAGUGACUCAACCGUAAGGAGAGAGCUGCCGAAGGCGGGGCAGGUAACUGGGGUGAAGUCGUAACAAGGUA